UACGUGAGGGGGCCAGCGUUGUCCGGAAUCAUUGGGCGUAAAGGCGCGACGUAGGCGGUCAGGUAAGUCCGGUGUGAAAGGUCAUAGGCUCAACCUAUGGAUGCCGCUGGAAACCUGCCUGACUUGGAGUCCGGGAGGGGCGAGUGGAAUCCUGGUGUAGCGGUGAAAUGCGCAGAUAUCAGGAGGAACACCAAUGGCGAAGGCAGCUCGCUGGAACGGUACUGACGCUGAGGCGCGAAAGCGUGGGGAGCGAACAGG
rnacentral:rRNA from 1 species